rnacentral:rRNA from 1 species
ACGAUAUGCUUUGGGGAGCUGUAAGUAAGCUUUGAUCCAGAGAUUUCCGAAUGGGGAAACCCAGCAUGAGUUAUGUCAUGUUAUCGAUAUGUGAAUACAUAGCAUAUCAGAAGGCACACCCGGAGAACUGAAACAUCUUAGUACCCGGAGGAAGAGAAAGAAAAUUCGAUUCCCUUAGUAGCGGCGAGCGAAACGGGAAGAGCCCAAACCAACAAGCUUGCUUGUUGGGGUUGUAGGACACUCUAUACGGAGUUACAAAGGACGACAUUAGACGAAUCAUCUGGAAAGAUGAAUCAAAGAAGGUAAUAAUCCUGUAGUCGAAAAUGUUGUCUCUCUUGAGUGGAUCCUGAGUACGACGGAGCACGUGAAAUUCCGUCGGAAUCUGGGAGGACCAUCUCCUAAGGCUAA